UACGAAGGGGGCUAGCGUUGCUCGGAAUCACUGGGCUUAAAGGGCGCGUAGGCGGGUGUCCAAGUCAGGGGUGAAAUCCGGCAGCUCAACUGUCGAACAGCUUCUGAUACUGGAUGUCUUGAGGGGGGUAGGGGCAUGUGGAACUUCCGGUGGAGCGGUGAAAUGCGUAGAUAUCGGAAGGAACGCCGGUGGCGAAAGCGACGUGCUGGACCCUUUCUGACGCUGAGGCGCGAAAGCCAGGGGAGCAAACGGG
rnacentral:rRNA from 1 species